rnacentral:lncRNA from 1 species
AUUUUUAAGGCAGACCAUUUAGUUGUCUUUUAGUAGUAACUUCAUUAACUUUGGAAUGUUUAUUGUUACAUAUGAAAUUAUAUGUAUGAAAUCCGGUUGGAGUUUGAGAAAUUAGGCUCAGUUGUUUCUACUGGUGGUUUUAUCAAGGGAGUCCUUGUGGUUUUUUUAGGAAAAAUAUAGUUGUCAGGCUUUAUAGUUAAAUUUAUUCUUGGAGAAGAGAUGUGUCUUAUGGUCAGGUACCCACUGAGUACUAUGAGUCCUUCAGUUUGGUCCCUGUUGUCACCUCUACACAAACACAGUGCUUAAUGUUUGGGGGAAGUUCUAAGAAAACGUUUCAAAUUCUCGUAUCUUAAUAGCAUACCUCUUGUUCUGUUGUAACAGCAGUCAGUUCUGCAAGUGUGACCUGAUCUGAUUGCCUUUCUAAUUUGAGGAAAGUAUAAUAAAUUAUAAUUAUAAUUUAUAAAUUAUAAUAAUUUAUACUUUGAUAUAUUAAAGUAUAUGUAUGACUUUUAAAACACUGGGAAGAAUAUGUCAACUUAAGUCAGGAAGGAGCUCAGCGACUGAACUGGUCACUAAGGUAGUAAAGAUAUAGGUUUCAGAAUUUCUCCUUACCAGUGCUGUGAAGUGUGGUUGUUCUGAAGCAUAGACCUUGCCAGAUGGUGCAUGGUACCCAGAAUGUUGUCUGUCCUCACAGUUGUUGGCUCUUCUGUCUUUAUUGUAUGGAAGUUCUCUCAUUGACAGGUUGGCUGAUAGUAGAAACCUCAGAUUUUUAUGUGGGAAUAUUUUAUUCAGUGUUAGGCAGUUUUCAUCUUACUAAAUAAAGGUGUUAAGGUGGUCUUGUUCUUCCCUCAGGUGCAUGCAAACUUAAAUAUACAUUAUGGAGCCUGAAGGCUGAGCCCCCUACAGGGGCAGAGAGGCUUGCUGUCUCUCAGCUGUCCUUUCCAUUCUCUUUCCGAGUUACUUUGCUGGUUUCCACACAGAAGCAAUUUUUCCUCUUGCUUAUAUUAAGUGCUUGAAAUUUCAUGACUGAUGAAUAGGAUUUAGGCAUUGUCCAGAUUUCACAACAUUCAGGCUCAAUUAUCUUUACUAAUUGGCUUCCUAAGCAAAAGCAUAGAAAAUAUGGAGGAAAUUAUUUCACACUUUAAGUGCAACUUUUUAUAAAACCAUAUUUUCUGAUUUUUAAGAAGAGAUUGACUAUAAAGAAAAGCAGAGUUUUGUUAGUGUUUGGGUUGCAGAAGGUAGAAAGAAUAUUCAGUAUUUCAGUUUUGAAAUUGACAGAAAGAAAGGAAGAUUUUAAGUUGAGGCAUUCAGAUUUGUAAUGACCCAGGAAGGGAAGUGAGACCUGAUCCAGCAAGUCAUACUGACGUUAUUAAGACAGAUGCCGUCUGUUCUGACCUCAAGCAGUUCUGUGCUAAGAACUUUUAAAAGAAGAAUCUAACAAUCUGGAUGAAGACCUCUGGGGUGGAUCUGCAUACUUCUGCAGCAUAGAGGACAGGACGGUACUUCAGCACAUUUAACAGUUAAUCUUAGUGAGCAUGACAAUGUUCCUACUGUUCUCAGCAGUAAUUACCAAAGAGUGCCUUAGUGAUAAACCAGCAAAAACUAUUGUUGUUGUUGAUGUUUCAUCAUGUCUGAAACUGAUACAGAGGACUACAACAAAUCACCAUCAGUUUAUUUUCUGUGACUUUAGGGGUCUCCAGUGUUAUUGUGUACACUAACAUGUAAGGAAACGUUAGACAUGAAGCUUUAUGCAUAGAGGUUCAUGAGAAUGGCUUUAUUGGCAUUCACGCUGUUCACAAUAAGCAGGCUUUAGCACUUUGUGUAUGAAGCUAUUUAUGUCUAUUUUAUCCGAUUUUCUGUAAGAAAAAGGAAAUAAGAAUAUUUUAGUUUUUAAAAGUGUUAUUGUUGAUUUCUGUAUUUUUCUUUCUCCUCAGAUGCAUAAAUUUAAGUAUUGUUCAUAUCCCAGUUUAUAGUAUAAAACAUGUUAACAAAAAUUAUAUAAGCAUUGGAGAGUGUUCUUUGCCACAACAAGGAAGAAUGAAAAGUUUUUUAUUUAAAUUUACUUCAAGUAAAUUUGGAGCUCUUGAACCCAAACCACAAAUGAUAUAAUAGCAGUAGUGAGUUUUUCUGAUACAGUGAUUGUAAGUUACUGCUAACUGAUAGAGAAUCACCAUGCAUAGGAGGCUUGGAGUGGGUUAAAUCAAUGUACGAAUGAUUUUUAAUCCUUCCAAAAAUAACAUGCAGUCUAGAAAAAUAAAUACAAAUAAAAUUAAUGGCUUAAAAUUAAAAUUACAGUGCUUUUGAAAAUAUGGCUUUGUAAAAUUUUAAGAAUUAUAUUCCUGUGGGUGGUCUAUAACUUGGAGUUACAGAGGGCUGUGAGUUGCCCAACAUGUGUGUCAGGAACUGAGCUUGGAUUCUCUGGAGGGAGUAGUAUGCAAUUUUAACCACUAAGCCAUCUCUGUAGCAUCACUGACUUGUGAUAUAUAGUACAUGAACCUUAAGUGAGCCCUUAUUCCCUUUUUUUUUAAUUCCUUUUUUUUUUUAAAUUCCUUUUUUCUGUUCACUUUCUUAUUUUUUUAGCAGACUAUUUUACAUUCUGUUUUUUAAUUACCACUCCCCUGCUUUCCUGUCCUCACUUUCAGCUGGUAACUUGAAUUUUACAUCUGAUUGGAAAAUUGAAACAAGAAAAAAUAUUUUACUGAUUUAUACUAAUUUCUUGCUUUCACCUACAAUCAGGCUGUGUAUUUGUCACCUCUAGUCAUAAGUUAAUAUCAUGCUCCUGUCUAGAUGUUGUCCUGUUUUCUCAUUUAUGGGUAAGCCCACUCAGAUAGCCCCUCGUCCCAUAUUUUUAGUAUAGUUAUCUAUCAGGGCUACUGGGUUUGGCAUCCUGUCUUAACCAGUAAUGUUACAUCCAGCUGGUCACUCCUAUGACACUCCGCUUGUAUCUGGCUGCCGCAGCUGCAUCUGUUUGCUUUUUUUGUUUUUUGUUUUUUCUCUUACUUUUCUACCCUUAAUUAUCUUGUGCUUUAUUUCUUAUUUGUAUUUGGAAAUUUUCUCUUUAAUUUUUUGUUUUGUCUUCUGCUAACUACUGUAGUUUGUUACUUUAUGUUGCUGUUUUCCUAACUAAUCAUAAUAAUAUGAUUCAUAUAAUGGCGUUCUCAGGGCUCAGGAGUAUAACUUCUCUUUAGAACACUGAGCUAGUCUUUGUUAGCAACUGAGAGAUUCAGUUCCAUUGGGAAUCCUCAUUUCUUAGGACUUUCUUUUUUCUCUUGUUCUUUUAAAAUUACUGAACUGUUCCUUUUCAGCUUAGUUUUCUAGUUCUUUUUUUAGACUAGUCUACCCUUGUUUUGUUGUACCUGAGUGUAUUCCAUUUAGUGGAAUUAGUGUGCUGAGGAAACCAUGCAAAAUCAUCAUGUUCUUGCUUUGAGAUUAUUGU